AUGGCCGCCACGGCAGCAAGCAACGCAGGUUCGUCGUCUCCACGCACCAGCUUCGUCGCGGACUCCCUGAUCCUCCCCACGCGCAACGGCCAGAUCUUCGCGUCCGCCUUCGCGCUCGUCUACGCCCACACCUUCGUCUCCCUCUCCGUCGCCCUCCUCUACGCCCACCCCCUCGCCGCCGCCGUCCUCGUCCACGUCGGCGUGCUGGCCAGGGAGGACGAGGGCUACGACUUCUACGCGGCGGAAAGCGACGAGGAGAUCCGGGGACACGCCACGAAGCUGCUCCUCCUCUACCUCGCGUACCUCGCCAGCCAGAUCGCCACGCGGGUCGCCGUCGCGCUCGCCGCCUCCGCGACGUGCGCCGGCGACCGGCGCCCGUGCUCGCUGGCCGAGCUCGUCGCCGCGGGCAGGAUCCGCGGCACCUUGGCCACCGCCGCCGUCGUCGCCGUCCUCCAGCUCGCGUCGUCCGCGGCCCUCCUCGCGGCGUCCCUCGCGUCCUGGUGCUGGUGGACGAGCGGUGCUGCUGCCGGGUCGGGCAGGGCCGCCGCCGUGGCAUCUUUUGUGUCAGGCUACGUGCUGUUCCUCCUCCUCCUCGUCCUCCUCUCGCACAUCUUCCUCGCCGCGGUCUUCCAAGUGGCGAUCGCCGCGUCGGCGGCAGAUGAAGGUUACGGCGAAGGCGGAACGCGCGCUGCUCUCCGGCGGGCGUGGCGGCUCAUGGCCGCGAGGGCGAUGAGGAAGGAGGCCGCCGUGAUGGUGCUCGUGGCGAGCCUCCUGCCGGUUGUCAUCUACCCGGUGUACGCGUUUGCCGUCUACUGUUUGCAGAGCGGCGUCUUCGGUGUCGUCCAUGGAUAUCUUCUCCCGUCCGCCGGCGUGCAGCUCUACUCCACUGUGGCCGCCGCGGUGUUCUAUCACCGGUGCACGGAGCAUCAUUAUUAUGAAUCUGUUAUGCCACUGACGAUGAAACAAGCUAGCUAA
rnacentral:rRNA from 1 species